rnacentral:rRNA from 1 species
GCACCGGAACACGUCAAAACUCCGAAAUUAAGCGUGCUUGGACGAGAGCUGUAAUAGGAUGGGUGAUCCCCUGAGAAUUCCUCAUGUUGCAUCCCUC